UACCUGGUUGAUCCUGCCAGUAGUCAUAUGCUUGUCUCAAAGAUUAAGCCAUGCAAGUCUAAGUACGAGCUCUCGUACAGUGAAACUGCGAAUGGCUCAUUAAAUCAGUUAUGGUUCAUUUGAUCGUACAGUUUACUUGGAUAACUGUGGUAAUUCUAGAGCUAAUACAUGCGAGAAGCGCCGACCUCGCGGGAGGCGUGCAUUUAUCAGACCAAAAACCGGCCGCGUCUUCGGGCGCGUUCGCCUUGGUGACUCUGGAUAACUUUGCGGAUCGCACGGUCUAGCACCGGCGACGGAUCAUUCAAGUGUCUGCCCUAUCAACUUUCGUCGGUACGGUAUUUGCCUACCGCAGUUCUUACGGGUGACGGGGA
rnacentral:ncRNA from 1 species